AUUGAACGCUGGCGGCAUGCUUUAUACAUGCAAGUCGUGCGGCAGCGCGGGGGCAACUCUGGCGGCGAGCGGCGAACGGGUGAGUAAUACAUAGGAACGUAUCCUGAAAUGGGGGAUAGCUCGGCGAAAGCCGGAUUAAUACCGCAUACGCUCCACGGAGGAAAGCAGGGGAUCGCAAGACCUUGCGUUUCUGGAGCGGCCUAUGUCUGAUUAGCUAGUGGCGGGGUAAUAGCCCACCAAGGCGACGAUCAGUAGCUGGUCUGAGAGGAUGAUCAGCCACACUGGGACUGAGACACGGCCCAGACUCCUACGGGAGGCAGCAGUAGGGAAUUUUGGACAAUGGGGGCAACCCUGAUCCAGCCAUGCCGCGUGAGUGAAGAAGGCCUGG
rnacentral:rRNA from 1 species